CUAUAUGGCAAACGAAGGCAUCCCACGCUUAGUUAUAGGACCAAUACGAAUUUCCAAGGUUCUUUCAACAGUGUGUGAGGUAACGGCUGAGAGUGCGGUCGGACUUUUUUCGCUCGUCGUAAAGUAAACGGAAAUUUGAGAGAACAAUAGAAUCUCCUGUAGCCAUGGAAGUAGACGGUUGUAGUGUAGCUAAGCAAAUGAACCGCUUGAUGAGACCCAUCAACGAGAAAUUAAUCUUCCUGGUUGCUGGCUGCAUGAAGCAUUUGGCCCAAGAAGUGUUUCAAAAAGUCCAGGAGACUAUACAAGAGGACCUCCUUUCGAUUAAAGCUACGAUUGUGAUUGUCAAGCCUCUGUCCAGGGGAGUAGAAGCUUCAAACGUUAAGCGUUUGGUGGAUCCCAGCCUCUUGGGUCCAUUUUUGGAUAAAGUACGCGACCGAGUCGAGCAUUACUCUGUAGAACAAGGGGCAGCUCUCUUAGAAAUCUUGAGGGAGGAAUUUUUGGUCAAGUUGGAGGCUGGCAUUUCUGCCGAACUACAAAGUGAGGGCGCAGGUGAUGGCAGUAAGACCGAGCUCCCUGACGAUCUGAGAGAAAGGGCAGCGCGAGCAUUAGAAGACCACCUGAAGGAGAACAUUCAGGAUCACCUGUUCUUUGCAGUCGAAGAGAGGAUCUUUGAACAUCUGGCUCAGGAAUUCAUCCGUAGUGGCCUUGGUACUAAUGUAGGUAGGAGUACCCCUUCCCCAGACGAGGUCGAACAGCUAGACAAGCCUACCAGGGAUGUUAGGGACAUCUUGAUACAGAUAAUGGACAAAGUUUUAUUGAGGUUGAAGCGUCGUCUGGUCCAGAUGAUUGCUGAUGACUUUCGUAAGUACUGGGUGAUCAAGGACUUCCGGCUACAUAAGAAGGGGAAUACCGAGAACUCCUUGACUAGAGAGUGGCAUGGGGACAUCGACGAGGUUCUGAGCGAGUGUAGAGUGUUAGUGGCCUCGAAUUUGGGCAUUUCGAUCAUGCAAACUGUGUGCGCAGCUCUUAAAGGCAAUACGAAUCGAUCAAGAGACAGAGAAAUUGAGGGGGGCCAAGUAGAAUUGGCUGCCAAGGUUAGGAAGUCCCUCUUGGAUGUGCUGUUGGAUGAAAUCGUGAGGGCUGUCGAGAAAAGCCUCUACAGAAACAUUUCGAGUCCCAGAGAUGACGGCACUGCUCUCAUGCAAGUGGAGGUGCUUGAGGUGAUCAAAGAAUGCUUUCCUCUGAAUUUUGACAAAGACCAGUGGGCACGUGAAGGAGAGGGUUGCCCUGAAGAGCUGUUUCAUCAGUACACCGAAGUUGUCCAAAACAUUCUUGCAUAAAUCUAUAGAAGAAGCCUUCCUGGGGAUAUCACGGAUAGAUUAGCUGUGAAAGAAGUCAUGGAAGCUGUGGUUCUCCUCAUCCCCGGCCAGUUGUGGAGGAGGGGAAGGCCCCCCAAACCUUCCCUAGCAAGUGUACCACCUGCCUAGUCGGCCCAGCUUUCCUUCAGAAUUUCCUUCCAUACAUUGUAUAAAUACAAGGUGAACUCUGGUAGCCCCAUCAGUCUCCAGUCACUGGUUAUAAGUAAGGUGGAUGAAUCUGGAGCGAAGUAAAUUGACUCGUCGGCAUCUCUUGCCUGCUUAGGCCACGCCCCCUUUACACCAGUGCUGUGCAUUGACCAGGCUUGUAAUUGCAAUUUAAUUGAAAUAUAAUUAUUUACACAUUUUUAAGGUAAAUGUAAUCGUACUUCUUUAUUUUUAUUUAAUAUUAAUUUUAGUUGCAAUUAUAAUUUGAUAAUAGGAUGGGUAAUUAUAAUUGUAACUGCAGUUGAUAAAGCAUAAUGUAAUUACUCCAAGCCUGAUUGAUGGACAAUAUUCUGCUAAACGGAUGAAGACGUCAUACUACAGAAAUGACGUCAGCUGCGGAAAUGUUUCUUGGCGGGCAAUGAAAAUGUACAAAUUUCCUUGUUUUUCUGAUUUAUGUGGAACAAGACACCAUAGCUUAUCUAUGUUCAAAUGUCAACAUACUUAAAAAGACAGUCUUCCUGCUUUUACCACCGAAAGAAGACGAGCACGGUAUAAAUGGGGAGGAGGUUAGUGACAUCACUGAUAGCUAGCCAAUCAGGACAAAGAAAGUAGUUUUCAAGUACGUCUUGGUUGUUAUUGUUUUUUUUAUUAUUAUUAUUUUUUACCCAUUGUAGGUAUCAGUAUCAGGAAUAUAACAAAAAAUCCACACUUUCCUUUAGGAUUGCGAAGCUAUUUUUAUUAUAGCCAAACUUAAAAAAUAGAGGUAAAAAUAAUAUUUUAAUUUGUUACCAUAGCGUUCAAUGGGAAUGACGCCACCUCUUUCUCUAGAUACCUUGUCUCCAGUGAGCUGUCACUGGAGUAACAACUACAUGUUGCUGUCUUGGGCAGCCAGUUCUCUCUGUAUAUGGACUUAUGAUGUACUAUAUCUGACCUUUG